AGGAAGAGGGUCAAAGCAAAGCCAACUGGGGACCCCAGCUGAUUCUGCUGCUUCUUCCACUAAACACAUCCAUAAUAUUCUCUUUGGUAAUACUGCAGAUUUCCAAAUGUGCCAAAACAGCUAAGCAAAAAGCAUCAUUCCAACACGUUUAAUGACUGCUUUGGGAGCCCAACUUUAACAGUGAGACAGGCACAAAAGCAGUAGAGCUGUCCCACGUGGAAUGGGCUAUCUCGUGACACUGUGACCCCCUUUCUUUCACCCUGGGUCUUCAAAAAGAGAAUGGAUGACACUGUGAUGAGGAGGGGUCUCUAUAUUGGUGACAGGCCAAAAUACAGGACUACCUACAGUCCUUUUGCAGUCCAUAAUCCUCAAGUCCCUCAGCUCUUCCAUGUAGCCACCUUCUAGACUACACUUAAAAUGCAUCCUGAACGUUUGUAAAGUACCCUGAAGGAACCCAUUCCAGUUCUGAAUCCGAUUACUAGGUUCAAGCCACACAAAUAACAACAGUGCAGCUAGUCUGAGCUAGAGGCUUCUUUACCUAACUGCAAAGUAAAUGUCCUUUCUAUUCAGCCGCAUCUAGCUCUUGACCCUAUGUUUACCAUAGAUACCAGUUCUUCUCACUUAGAUUCUCUGACUUAUCAGAGUAUUAUAGAGCAAACAUUAGCUAUGCCUGUGUCUUGAGUUGUGUCAAUCUGUAAUGAAAAUGUGCCAGCUUUAUCAUCACUCACAGACUUCUUAAUUAACCUUCUGAUAUUGUCAAAAUCGCACUCUCUUUUGUUCUAGAAAUGAGCAUUUACAUGUGCAUUUUUUUCCUUCAUUGCUUUUUUACUGGCUAAGGUUUUACCAAAUCCUGAUGUUCUUUAAAAAGUGUAUUCUGCAAAAACAAAAGAAAGCAAUAAUUAUAGACACUACAAUAUAGAAUUUCUUCCC